rnacentral:rRNA from 1 species
UGGGGAAUAUUGGACAAUGGGCGAAAGCCUGAUCCAGCCAUGCCGCGUGUGUGAAGAAGGUCUUCGGAUUGUAAAGCACUUUAAGUUGGGAGGAAGGGCAGUAAGCUAAUACCUUGCUGUUUUGACGUUACCGACAGAAUAAGCACCGGCUAACUCUGUGCCAGCAGCCGCGGUAAUACAGAGGGCGCAAGCGUUAAUCGGAAUUACUGGGCGUAAAGCGCGCGUAGGUGGUUUGUUAAGUUGGAUGUGAAAGCCCCGGGCUCAACCUGGGAACUGCAUCCAAAACUGGCAGGCUAGAGUACGGUAGAGGGUGGUGGAAUUUCCUGUGUAGCGGUGAAAUGCGUAGAUAUAGGAAGGAACACCAGUGGCGAAGGCGACCACCUGGACUGAUACUGACACUGAGGUGCGAAAGCGUGGGGAGCAAACA